AAUUGAGAAUGGAAAUGGGGAAUGUGCCAAAGAGACAACAACCCGACCAUUGAAAAAAAAACAACAGCAGAAGGUCACCAACAGGUCUUCAAUGUAGCGAGAAAUUCCCGCACCCAGAGGCGUCCUUCAGCUUGCCCCUAAACAAAUAUAUACUAGUUCAGUGAUAAUGAACGCCAUACUAAUUUCCAAAUUGUACACAAGAAACUAAAAUUAAAAUAAUACAAGACUAACAAAGGC
rnacentral:lncRNA from 1 species